rnacentral:rRNA from 1 species
AUGUCGUUGGCAUGUUUAGUAUACGCACGAAGAUAUGCAAAGUGUAAAAGUGGUUUCCUGGGAACGUCAUAUUUUUUUCUCCUGGGAACGAAUGAACUGUUCGUCAGGGAGCGAUCACCCCACCGAACGUUUUUGUUCGAUCUGGGGGAGGAGCUGGAGCGAACGAUUCACCCCAGGCCCCCAUGCAAACAGUUGCCCAUGCAGGCAAAAACAGAACCCUGA